AUGCGGUACUUCUUCGAAACCUUCAUAAUGCUUUUUGUCAUGCAACAACUUGCUAACAAGUCCUGGUCUGUUGCAGUUGAUUGCACAUGUGGAGGGCUUCUGGAUGCAUUUAUUGUCUCAUGUCACAAGGAUUUACAACUUUUACGAGAAUGCGGGUGUAGAGUAUUGAUAAUUCCAGAUGGCUCACUUCCUACAAUAGAGCACCCUACAGUACUAUCAAUUAUUCAGUCAGAGAACCACACUAUGCUGAAUAUAUUGGUGGAUCAGUCAGAUGAAGAGAGUGAAAACAGCGUUUACUCUGAAUUUUCAGACAGAGUGGCGAUGCAGCUGGAAGUUUGA
rnacentral:rRNA from 1 species